rnacentral:rRNA from 1 species
CUACGGGCGGCAGCAGUGAGGAAUAUUGCACAAUGGAGGAAACUCUGAUGCAGCAACGCCGCGUGGAGGAUGACGCAUUUCGGUGUGUAAACUCCUUUUAUAUGUCAAGAAAAUGACGGUAGCAUAUGAAUAAGCACCGGCUAACUCCGUGCCAGCAGCCGCGGUAAUACGGAGGGUGCAAGUGUUACUCGGAAUCACUGGGCGUAAAGGACGCGUAGGCGGGAUAUCAAGUCAGGUGUGAAAUCCUACAGCUUAACUGUAGAACUGCACUUGAAACUGGUAACCUAGAGUAUGGGAGGGGGAGAUGGAAUUAGUGGUGUAGGGGUAAAAUCCGUAGAUAUCACUAGGAAUACCUAAAGCGAAGGCGAUCUCCUGGAACAUAACUGACGCUAAGGCGUGAAAGCGUGGGGAGCAAACAGGAUUAGAUACCCUCGUAGUC